rnacentral:rRNA from 1 species
GACGAACGCUGGCGGCGUGCUUAACACAUGCAAGUCGAACGGUGAAGCGCCUUCCUUUUUGGUGGGUGUGGAUGAGUGGCGAACGGGUGAGUAACACGUGAGUAACCUGCCCCCUUCUUCUGGAUAACCGCAUGAAAGUGUGGCUAAUACGGGAUAUUCUGAGUCUGUCGCAUGAUGGGUCUGGGAAAGAUAUUGUUUCGGUGGGGGAUGGGCUCGCGGCCUAUCAGCUUGUUGGUGGGGUGAUGGCCUACCAAGGCGGUGACGGGUAGCCGGCCUGAGAGGGUGGACGGUCACACUGGGACUGAGACACGGCCCAGACUCCUACGGGAGGCAGCAGUGGGGAAUAUUGCACAAUGGGCGCAAGCCUGAUGCAGCGACGCCGCGUGAGGGAUGGAGGCCUUCGGGUUGUGAACCUCUUUCGCCAGUGAAGCAGGCCUGCCUCGUUUGUGGGUGGGUUGACGGUAGCUGGAGAAGAAGCGCCGGCUAACUACGUG